GACGAACGCUGGCGGCGUGCUUAACACAUGCAAGUCGAACGGAAAGGCCUGCUUUCCCUUGUGGAUUGCGGGUACUCGAGUGGCGAACGGGUGAGUAACACGUGAGUGAUCUGCCCCCAACUUGGGUAUAAGCCUGGGAAACUGGGUCUAAUUCCCGAUAGGACUGCAGGGUGGUGCCUGUGUUGGAAAACGAGUUUCUAGUGGUUGGGGAUGAGCUCGCGGCCUAUCAGCUUGUUGGUGGGGUAAUGGCCGACCAAGGCGGCGACGGGUAGCCGGCCUGAGAGGGUGGACGGCGACAUUGGGACUGGGAUACGGCCCAGACUCCUACGGGAGGCAGCAGUGGGGAAUAUUGCACAAUGGGCGGAAGCCUGAUGCAGCGACGCCGCGUGGGGGAUGACGGCCUUCGGGUUGUAAACUCCUUUCGACCGCGAGGAAGCCACCUGGUUGGAAGGGUGGUGACGGUAGUGGUAGAAGAAGCACCGGCUAACUACGUG
rnacentral:rRNA from 1 species